CAUUGGUGGUUCAGUGGUAGAAUUCUCGCC
rnacentral:piRNA from 8 species